AGUGAACGCUGGCGGUAGGCCUAACACAUGCAAGUCGAACGGCAGCACAGUAAGAGCUUGCUCUUACGGGUGGCGAGUGGCGGACGGGUGAGGAAUACAUCGGAAUCUACUUUUUCGUGGGGGAUAACGUAGGGAAACUUACGCUAAUACCGCAUACGACCUACGGGUGAAAGCAGGGGAUCUUCGGACCUUGCGCGAUUGAAUGAGCCGAUGUCGGAUUAGCUAGUUGGCGGGGUAAGGCCCACCAAGGCGACGAUUCGUAGCUGGUCUGAGAGGAUGAUCAGCCACACUGGAACUGAGACACGGUCCAGACUCCUACGGGAGGCAGCAGUGGGGAAUAUUGGACAAUGGGCGCAAGCCUGAUCCAGCCAUACCGCGUGGGUGAAGAAGGCCUUCGGGUUGUAAAGCCCUUUUGUUGGGAAAGAAAAGCAGCAGGUUAAUACCCCGCUGUUCUGACGGUACCCAAAGAAUAAGCACCGGCUAACUUCGUG
rnacentral:rRNA from 1 species